rnacentral:rRNA from 1 species
UGCCAGCCGCCGCGGUAAGACGUAGGAUGCGAGCGUUGUCCGGAAUUAUUGGGCGUAAAGCGUACGUAGGCGGUCAUCUAAGUCUGGGGUUAAAGACCAGGGCUCAACCUUGGGAGUGCCCUGGAUACUGGGUGACUGGAGGGCGGCAGAGGAAAGUGGAAUUCCCAGUGUAGCGGUGAAAUGCGUAGAUAUUGGGAGGAACACCAGUGGCGAAAGCGACUUUCUGGGCCGUUCCUGACGCUGAGGUACGAAAGCCAGGGGUGCAAACGGGAUUAGAUA